rnacentral:rRNA from 1 species
UACGUAGGGGGCAAGCGUUGUUCGGAAUUACUGGGCGUAAAGGGCGCGUAGGCGGCACAGCAAGUCGGGUGUGAAAGCCCGGGGCUCAACCCCGGAAUGGCUUUCGAAACUGCUGAGCUAGAGUACAGAAGGGGCAACCGGAAUUCCCAGUGUAGCGGUGAAAUGCGUAGAUAUUGGGAAGAACACCUGAGGCGAAGGCGGGUUGCUGGGCUGAUACUGACGCUGAGGCGCGAAAGCCAGGGGAGCAAACGGG